GACGAACCGAGCGAACGUUGUUCGGAAUCACUGGGCUUAAAGGGCGCGUAGGCGGGCUGUCAAGUCUGGGGUGAAAUCCCGCGGCUCAACCGCGGAACUGCCUCAGAUACUGACGGUCUCGAGGGAGGUAGGGGCGAGCGGAACUGAUGGUGGAGCGGUGAAAUGCGUUGAUAUCAUCAGGAACUCCGGUGGCGAAGGCGGCUCGCUGGACCUCUUCUGACGCUGAGGCGCGAAAGCCAGGGAAGCAAACGGG
rnacentral:rRNA from 1 species